GACGAGGGAUCCUAGCGUUGUUCGGAAUUACUGGGCGUAAAGCGUGCGCAGGCGGCUUUGCAAGACAGAUGUGAAAUCCCCGGGCGUCAACCUGGGAACGUGCAUUUGUUGACUGCAAGGCUAGAGUACGGCAGAGGGGGAGUGGAAUUCCGCGUGUAGCAGUGAAAUGCGUAGAUAUGCGGAGGAACACCAAUGGCGAAGGCAAUCCCCUGGGCCUGUACUGACGCUCAUGCACGAAAGCGUGGGGAGCAAACAGGAUUAGAAACCCCGGUAGU
rnacentral:rRNA from 1 species